UGGGGUUGUGGCUCAGUGGUAGAGUGCUCGCCUAGCAUGUGCGAGGUCCUGGAUUCGGUCCUCAGCACCACAA
rnacentral:tRNA from 1 species